CCUGGUGGCUCAGUUGGUAAAAGUGUCUGCCUACGAUGCGGGAGACCCAGGUUCGAUCCCUGGGUCAGGA
rnacentral:tRNA from 1 species